AUUUAAAUAGUUUAAGAUAAAAAAUAUUAGUUUGUGGAUCUAAAGAUAUAAAAGAAGUAAUUAUUUUAAAUU
rnacentral:tRNA from 1 species